AAAGCCCCCUCUAUGUUUUGAAACUGUAGCAGUUUUGGCCCCCAAGGCCAAAAAAAUAAAAAAUAAAUAUCACGUGGCACCUCACUUAGGGUGCCACGUCAGCGUAAACUGAGUCAAAAUUGUCCUUGGGGGCAAAACUGCCACAUGUGCAAAACUUAGGGGGUGAUUU
rnacentral:pre_miRNA from 1 species